UGGCGGCAUGCCUAACACAUGCAAGUCGAACGAAGGCUUCGGCCUUAGUGGCGCACGGGUGCGUAACGCGUGGGAAUCUGCCCUUGGGUUCGGAAUAACAGUGAGAAAUUACUGCUAAUACCGGAUGAUGACUUCGGUCCAAAGAUUUAUCGCCCAAGGAUGAGCCCGCGUAAGAUUAGCUAGUUGGUGAGGUAAAGGCUCACCAAGGCGACGAUCUUUAGCUGGUCUGAGAGGAUGAUCAGCCACACUGGGACUGAGACACGGCCCAGACUCCUACGGGAGGCAGCAGUGGGGAAUAUUGGACAAUGGGCGAAAGCCUGAUCCAGCAAUGCCGCGUGAGUGAUGAAGGCCUUAGGGUUGUAAAGCUCUUUUACCAGGGAUGAUAAUGACAGUACCUGGAGAAUAAGCUCCGGCUAACUCCGUGCCAGCAGCCGCGGUAAUACGGAGGGAGCUAGCGUUGUUCGGAAUUACUGGGCGUAAAGCGCACGUAGGCGGCCAUUCAAGUCAGAGGUGAAAGCCCGGGGCUCAACCCCGGAACUGCCUUUGAAACUAGAUGGCUUGAAUCUUGGAGAGGCGAGUGGAAUUCCGAGUGUAGAGGUGAAAUUCGUAGAUAUUCGGAAGAACACCAGUGGCGAAGGCGACUCGCUGGACAAGUAUUGACGCUGAGGUGCGAAAGCGU
rnacentral:rRNA from 1 species